rnacentral:rRNA from 1 species
AUACGGAGGAUCCGAGCGUUAUCCGGAUUUAUUGGGUUUAAAGGGUGCGCAGGCGGCCAUUUAAGUCAGCGGUUAAAUCGUGGGGCUCAACCCCAUUCUGCCGUUGAUACUGGGUGGCUUGAUUGCGGUCGAGGUUGGCGGAAUUCGUUGUGUAGCGGUGAAAUGCAUAGAUAUGACGAAGAACACCGAGUGCGCAGGCAGCUGACCAGACCGCAAAUGACGCUCAUGCACGAAAGGGCGGGGAUCGAACAGGAUUAGAUACCCUGGUAGUCCGCACAGUAAACGAUGAAUACUUGUUUUCGGCGAUAUAAUGUCGGAGGCAAAGCGAAAGCGAUAAGUAUUCCACCUGGGGAGUACGCCGGCAACGGUGAAACUCAAAGGAAUUGACGGGG